GAUGAACGCUGGCGGCGUGCCUAAUACAUGCAAGUCGAGCGAACAGAUAAGGAGCUUGCUCCUUUGACGUUAGCGGCGGACGGGUGAGUUACACGUGGAUAACCUACCUAUAAGACUGGGAUAACUUCGGGAAACCGGAGCUAAUAUCGGAUAACAUAUUGAACCGCAUGGUUCAAUAGUGAAAGGCGGCUUUGCUGUCACUUAUAGAUGGAUCCGCGCCGUAUUAGCUAGUUGGUAAGGUAACGGCUUACCAAGGCAACGAUACGUAGCCGACCUGAGAGGGUGAUCGGCCACACUGGAACUGAGACACGGUCCAGACUCCUACGGGAGGCAGCAGUAGGGAAUCUUCCGCAAUGGGCGAAAGCCUGACGGAGCAACGCCGCGUGAGUGAUGAAGGUCUUCGGAUCGUAAAACUCUGUUAUCAGGGAAGAACAAAUGUGUAAGUAACUGUGCACAUCUUGACGGUACCUGAUCAGAAAGCCACGGCUAACUACGUG
rnacentral:rRNA from 1 species